AUUGAACGCUGGCGGCAUGCCUUACACAUGCAAGUCGAACGGCAGCACGGGAGCAAUCCUGGUGGCGCGUGGCGAACGGGUGAGUAAAGUAUCGGAACGUGCCCAGUCGUGGGGGAUAACGUAGCGAAAGUUACGCUAAUACCGCAUACGAUCUAUGGAUGAAAGCGGGGGAUCGCCAGACCUCGCGCGACUGGAGCGGCCGAUAUCAGAUUAGGUAGUUGGUGGGGUAAAGGCUCACCAAGCCGACGAUCUGUAGCUGGUCUGAGAGGACGACCAGCCACACUGGGACUGAGACACGGCCCAGACUCCUACGGGAGGCAGCAGUGGGGAAUUUUGGACAAUGGGCGAAAGCCUGAUCCAGCCAUGCCGCGUGCAGGAUGAAGGCCUUCGGGUUGUAAACUGCUUUUGUACGGAACGAAAAGGUUUGGCCUAAUAAGCUGAGCUCAUGACGGUACCGUAAGAAUAAGCACCGGCUAACUACGUGCCAGCCGCCGCAGUAA
rnacentral:rRNA from 1 species